ensembl:lncRNA
GCUAGACCAGCGUCCUCUUCCAGAUGAUCUGAAUUUGAAACUUCUUUAUGACUAAACAGCUGUGUGAUGCAUUGGAAAAAUCCAGAGUAUUUCACACCUUCUAGCCUGAGAAUUCAUGGAGACCAUCUGCUCCACUCUGAUCUGCGAGGAUCCUCCCAGAGCUCUGCACUCUGUGCUCCCACAUCCCACACGGCUUUCAGGCCCCACUGCUUUUAUCUGGGGGCAGGCAAAGAGGAUGACUGUCUUCCUCCUGGUGGUGAGGACACUAACCAAAAUGAGUCCUGUCAUUUGAACAAGCUGUGUACUGAGCCACGUGGGGAUGCCACAGUUUGGCUCAGAAACUGGAGGGAGAAAACAUCUGGUGUCCAUCUUCCACCAGUCAAAGUCUGCAACACAUGGGAACGUCACCCUGAGAAGGAUGUGAUACAGGCAAAAUCAGGUUGCCUCUUUUCUGAAAGAAUAAAGAAAUGUAAAUGUGUCGUUCUGAUGCCACCGUCUCCAUUUGCUGAGUAUCUACCGGAAGAAGAGUUCCUUUUCAAGUCAGACAAGAGCAUUGCCAGGUUUUGUUUGCAAGAAGGUUCCUGCUCUGCUGCAUAGAAGAGGCGGGGGACUGUUGUGUCUCCUUGGCCUUUCCCUUCUCAUCCCCCUCUCACCUCCCCUGCUUGGGCCCCUGUCACCACACACCUGGACAUCAUCACAGAGCCUCUCAGCCACAAGGUUCCUGAGGCAACACUACAUAACUGCAGAAAGCUCAGGUUCGAAUGUGAUGUCAAAAUGUCCAAACAUUUGUCAUCAAAAUUGUCAGCGUGUUGCAACAGACAGGCUCAACCCCUCGUCAAACUGUUCCUCCCUCCAGGUUGACUCAAGCACACCACGGGCCAGAACUACCUGCCGACAAAGCAACAUGAGCACAUGGCGAUCACUGAGUCAAGAGUGACCAGAAUGACCUGAAAGGACAAGUAUUAACUAGUGCAAAACAAGGGUGCAUUGGGGCCUCCUCCCUUCUUUUAAUAUAGAUCUUAGUUGAUACCACUUUGAGACAAUGUUGACACACCCCUACCAUAAUUAGCAGCCAGGG